UCUUCACUCCCUUCAUGGGAGAGAUUUUCAAAUAAACUAAGUCGCCAACCUCAAACUCAAGAUCUCUCUUUCUCACAUCUGUAUAGAAUUUUGGUCGGAUUUAGGCUGUCUUAAGCCUUUCUCUGAUUAGCCUGAACUUUCUCCAAUGCAUCAAAUACUAAAUCUGACCCUAUUAUCAUGGUCUCACCUACCUCAAGCCAACUAAUAGGAGAUCUACAUCUUCUCCCAUAAAGAGCCUCAAAUGAAGCCAUCAGAAUACUUGAAUGAUAAUUAUUAUUGUAAGCAAACUCAAUUAAUGUAAGUAAUCAUCCCAAUUAUCCUUAAAGUUGAUAACACAAGCUCUCAACAUGUCAUUUAGGGUCUGAAUGGUCCUGUCUACCUGACCAUCUAUCUGCGGGUGAAAGGUUGUAUUGAGACGAACUUGGGUACCUAGACCCUUCUGAAAAGCUUUCCAAAAGUUAGAGGUAUACUAAGUGCCUCUACCUGAAAUGAUGGAGAAUGGGACUCCAUACAACCUGACCAACUCUCUAAUAUAGAACUUUCCAUAAUCCUCGGCCGAAUAAGAAGUAUAGACUAGCAAGAAACAGGCUAUUUUGGUAAUUUUGUCUAUAAUAACCCAAAUCAAAUCAUGAUGGCAACGUGAACGAGGCAACCCUAUCACAAAAUCCAUCUUCACCUCCUCCCACUUCCAAGUAGGAAUGUUGAACUCUUGUAUAAUGCUACUAGGCGUUUGGUGCUCAACCUUAACCGGUUGAUAAUUAGCACACUUGGCUACAAACUCUACAAUAUUUGUCUUCAUGCCACUCCAUCAAUAGAUUUUUCACAAAUCAAGGUGCAUCUUAGUGGCUCCUGGGUGAAUUAAGUAACCCACACCAUGAGCUUCUGUAAGAAUUUAAUGUCUCAAAUUGCUGACGUACCACACACAGAGUCAACCCUGUCAACGCAACACACCUCUCCUCCUUGAUAGAAAACCUCUAAAUUCUGAUUUGUGACUAACUUUUUCAACUUAACUAGGCUGGGAUUCGUAUCUUGAUUUUCUUUCACUUCGGCAACCAAAGAAGAUUCCAAACUAUUUCAGACCCAUACACUACCCUUAUCUGACUAAACUAAAUGAAGGGUUAACCUAGCCAACUGAAUAGAUGAGCCAACUUCUUAUUAUCAUUGUCAACAUGAGCCACACUAUCAAUAGAUAAUCUACUAAGGGCAUCUGCCACUACAUUGGCCUUGUCCAAAUAUCAUAAUCCUUCAAGAAUUCUAACCACCUUCUCUGAUGAAGAUUUAACUCUAAGUGAAAAAACAUACUGCAAACUUUUAUGGUCUGUGAGCACAUCAACAUGCACCCCAUACAGAUAAUGCCUCCAAAUUUUCAAGGCAAACAUAACAGCUACUAACUCAAGAUUAUGGGUAGGAUAAUUAUUUUUAUGGGGAUUAAUUUGUGUAGAAACAUAGGCUAUGAUCUUACCUCUCUGCAUCAAAACACAACACAAACCAACAUUGGAAGCAUUAUAGUACACAAAAAUCCUAUCUGAACUAUCUGUCAAGGUCAAAACUGGGGCUGAGGUGAGUCACGUUUUCAAAUCCUAAGAACUUUUCUCACUGGAAUUUGACCACUAAAACUUGACUUUCUUCUGAGUUAAUUUGGACAUAGGGGAUGUAAUAGACAAAAACCCUUCAAAAAAUUAUCUGUAAUAACUAGCCAAACCCAAGAAACUCUUGAUAUCUGAAGGAAAGAUAGGUCUGGGCCAGUUUCUCACUGCUUUGAUCUUUUGAGGGUCAACUAUAAUGCCAUCACCAAAAAUAAUAUGGCCAAGGAAAGCUAUUGAUCUUAUCCAUAACUCACACUUAUUGAAAUUUGUAAAUAAUUGAUGGCAUCUAAGAGUCUGUAUAACUAUUCUAAGGUGGUUUGCAUGAUCAGUUUCAUUAUGAAAAUAGAAAAGGAUGUCAUCUAUGAAAACUAUGAAAAACAUGUCCAAGUACUGCUUAAACACUCUAUUCAUCAAGUCCAUGAAAGCUGCAGGGGAAUUCAUUAGACUAAAGGACAUGGAUAGGAAUUCAAAGUGAUAAUAUCGAGUUCUGAAAGCUAUUUUUGAAAUGUCACAUUCUCUAACUCUGAGCUGAUGAUAGCCGGAUCUGAGGUCUAUCUUAGAGAAAUAAAUGGCACCCUGAAGUUGAUCGAACAAGUCAUCAAUCUGGAGAGUGGAUACUUAUUCUUGAUAGUGACUUUGUUCGGCUAACAAUAAUCGAUGCACAUUCUGAGAGAAUCAUCUUUCUUAUGCACGAAAAGGAAUAGAGCGCCCCAUAGGGAAAUACAAGGCUGGAUAAAUCCCUUACCAAAGAGAUCUUACAACCAUUCUUUUAACUUCCUAAAAUCCAUGGGAGCACUUCUAUAGGACGAAAUAGAAAUAGACUAGGUAUCUGGAAGAAGGUGUAUUUCAAACUCGAUUUCACUUUCGAGAGAAACUACAGAAAGAUCUUUGAAAAACACAUCUGGAAAUUCCCUCACUACUAAAACUAACUCGUGAUUGGUAAUCUCUAAACUAGAGUUUUUAACUUGAACAAGAUGAUAGACACACCUCUUGGAUAUCAAUUUUCUCACUAUAAGGUAUGAAACAAAAUGACCCCUAAGUGUUAAAGUACUACACCUCCAUUCAAGGAUUGGUUCAUUUAGAAAUAGAAAAUGAACAACUAUAUUUCUUUAAUCAACCGAAGCAUAGCAUGAGUGGAUCCAAUACACAUCGAAAAUGACAUCAAAAUCAGUCAUCUGUAACUCUAGAAGAUCAACUGAGGUGUGUUUCUGGGAUAUUGUGAUCGGACAGUUCCUGUAUACCUGCCUGGAUAUAUUAGAGACGCCUAUUAGAGUGGACACUGAGAAAGGUUCUGCUAAAGUCUCAAGCCUGAUAAGAAAAUUAAUAGCUAUAUAGAGAGUUACAAAAUAAAGAGAAGCUCUAGGAUCUUACAAGGAAUAAACAUGUAAAUGAAAGACCUAUAAUGUACCAGUAACUACAUUAGGAGAACUUUCUUGAUCCUAUCAAGACUGAAGUGCAUACAAUCUGCUUGGGUGCUGACCACUAGUUAUGCUGGAAGUGGCACUCUAUUGGGUCAAGUGAUUGGAUGGAACUUGGGGAUGAUUGGACUGACCCUACUUACCAUUAUUUAGGCAAUCCCUGACUCUGUGCCCUGGCGUGACACAUACAAAGCAUACAUCAUUGCCAGAUCUACACACACCCUGAUGGUUUCUACCAUAUUUCUGGAAAAGAGGAUUUGUACGACCACUGUUCACACUACCUUGGGACUUAGAUCCGGGUACCCGAUCUAGAUUAUUAUUUCUGAACUUCGGCACUAGUUCACUAGCUGAAGAUGGAGCUGGGACUGAUAAUUUCUGACAGAAUUGAGGAUGGUAACCACCCUCUAACAUCAGCUGAGCAAAACUAAAGCUACCUUUUUUGGCUCUCUUAUUCUCCUUCUCUUUCCUUAAAUUUGUGCUCCUCAAUUUGUUGAGCAUGGACUAUCAGCCUAAAUAAGUCCAUCUCCUUAAUCAACAUCACAAUCCUACACUCCUUGACCAUGCUAUUAGCUACCCCAGAAACAAACUCACUCAUCCUAGAUCUGUUAUCAAACACCACAUUAGGAGCAUACCUGGCUAGUCGAGUAAACUUAAGAGAAUACUCUUUCACACUCAUGUUCCCCUACUGCAAAAUGAUAAACUCUUGUACCUUAGAUUUCUAUAACUCAAAGGUAAAUAAAAUAUCUAAAAAGGAUGUGGAAUACUCCUCCCAUUUAAUAGGCCCUGUAUCUAUGCCUCUAUCUCCCUUCCACUGCUUAUACCAGGUAUGGGCAACAUCCUACAACUGGUAAGAUCCCAACUCCACACUCUCACUAGAAGUCACACCCAUAAUGUCAGCUACCUUCUAAACCAUGUCAAGGAACUCUUCUGGAUCCUCAUUAAUCUUGGAUCCCAAAAACAAAUGAGGGUUCAUUCGAGUUAAGUCCCGAAUCCUAGCUGCGAUAGUAUUAGCCACUGAAAUGGAUGGGACAAUAGCCUGCUGAUUAUUAUAAGCUUCUACUGAGUGAGAUAAAGUAGUGAAUGCAGCUCUGAAUUUUGCAUGAGAAACAUGCUUAUUCAGGGGAUCUUCCUGAAUAGGCGGAGGUGCGGGUUGAUUUCUAUUUCUUUUUAUAUUCGUCUUUCGGAGAUACAUGCUCUGAAAUGGAAAGAUUAGAAAGGGAGUUUAAAUUUAUCUCAUGCUUAUUUGCAUGACAUGAAUACCAAAAGAAGGAAAACUUCUCCUAAAAUGUCUUAUAGCCUCUUGUCCAUAGGUGUGACACGUUUUACACCCAUGCACAAGACUUUAAUCAACCCGUCUUUCACACUUCCUAUGAUACUUUAAAACAUUAGGAUCUGAUACCAAGUUUGUAAUUCCCUGAGAGUGAACCCUCGACGCCACACGUUUUUUACGAUCACAAGUGGCCACAAGCUAACCCAUGAGUUGGUGCCUACUGUGAGCACCGAAUAAACUGAUAAUAAAAGAUAUGCUUGUGUAUAAAUAGUUGGAUAUACUAUAGGGAUUAAAUACUAAAAACAAUAUAAUUGAAAUCCACAAUUUUGAAACAUAAGCAAAAAUGCUCAAAACUGACAACUAACCAAUUGUCUAAAAUGUCCGAAAGCAUUUAAAACUGACUAAAUAAGAUUUAAUGGGACAAGCCUCAACUUAAUCCAAUUGUCUAACUCGAGUAAAAUACUGAAAUAAACAUAAUCGUUCCUCAAAAUAUAAGGACUCACCACUGCAAUUCAUGCUGAUGUGCUAAAAUAUCUAAGUGCGGUCGGCAACCUGAGAGUCCAAACCUAUGAUAUGAGACAUCAUAGAGCAAGAAAUGAGUAUGCCAUCAGUACUUUAAAUGUACUGGUAUGCUAAAUGAGGUUAGGUUGAUAUGCAUGGGCUCAUGUGCAUGAAUAAUAAUUGAAUGAAUAAAUAUCAUGAGAAAACUGAUGCAUAGUAUGCAUGAAGGCUGUAAAAUCUGAGAAUGCAUAACCAAGCAUAGAACAUAAUAUGAGAAUAGUCUGUAAAAUAAAAUACUAAAAUCAAAGUAUUGAUUUAACUAUAAACAUUAUGCUAUGGUCAAGCAAACCUGAGCUGACAUUCAAACUGAGACUGGACUGAGACUGUGGGAGCUGUCAUCUAACCGACAUGCCCCAAUAUGAGCUAAUUGGGUCCAACCUACGACCCCAGUUAGAAGGGUUUCAGAACUAUGCCACGGAUACUAACACUGUCUAUGUAGAUCCACUAAAGUGAAGUUCCGAAAGACUAAAGAGUCACCCUCUACUGGCAGGUGCUCUUCUGAGAUAUAUGUCAACCCUCAACUGGCAGUUUAAUGUCUCAACCUACGCUGGCUAUGUUGUUUUGGAUCACAUAGACGAUUACAAAAGGUCACACCCUUAACUGGCAGGUGAGCCCCUAUUUCUAGGUUCGCUCAAUGCUAAAUCCUACUCCCAACUAAACUGACUCUGAUUACUAAACUGAACUAAGCUUACUAAUAUGAUAACUGACUAAAUUGAUAAUACUCUAUUAUAUUUGAAACUAUUAUGAAAAUACUGAGGAUAAGUAAACAACUAAGUUUUUGGGUACUCAUAACCCUCAUGACUUGAUAAUAUUAAAAGUAGAAAUAUACUAAAGCUUCAAAGCAUAAUAAGUAGUUAUUGUUCAAAAUCCAAUCAUUUAGGCAUUUCAUCAAACACUUGAAAUUCUUGAACUUAGGCAUGGAGAUGAUUGAAACAUGUAGGAGUAACAUAAUCACAACACUAAAAUCAUACAUUGGGGAUUUAACAUGGAGUUUCAUGCUUCAAAUAUGUAAGGGCUACAUUCCUAAUAAAAUCACUUGCAAACAUCAUGACUAAUUGAAAUUCAUAAAAGCUUCAUGAAAAUAACUCAUUGUAAACAUGUAAAUUCAUGCUUUAAAGCAUAAAAAUAGGUUCUUGGACUACAUGGGUGGAAAGGGCCUGUGGAUAAACAUCUAACAUACCUUAAGGCUUUAAUCUUGUAAGAGAAUUAACUUUCCUAAUCGUUGUUGGGUGGUGAAGCUUGAAUUCUUGAAUUGUUUUGAAGGAAUAAUGACUGAACUUGAUGAAUUUGGGUGAUGGCUUGGGUUUAUUUUAGAUAGGAAUUAAGGAAAUUGGGCCUUAAUAGAUGAUAUGUGUUUCACAGAUUGGGGCGGUGAAAAAUGGCAAGACAUCCCUUCUGAGAUUUAAAUUCGCAAUUGAAAUGCGGAUUAGGGAGGUACCGCGAUGCGAUGAGCCAUCUAUUGCUAUAAUAGCCGGGCCGCGAUGCUAUCGCGAUGACUUACUAUUACCAAAGUCCAAACACGACCAAAACCUCAUUCAAAAAAUUCAAAACUUCGCUGAGACAUUCUACUUACACCCCUGAACAUAAAUUAACUUAGAAAUCAUCGUCUCGGAUUCGGGAAGGUCACUUUAAAAAUAAUCAAAGUUAAGAGGCCAAAACUAAAACUAAGUCCCCAACACUUAGCUAAUUUUACAGGUUCUAAGCCUCUUGUACAUACACUAUGGGCUGAACUGUGCUAAGACUAACACAGGUAGUACGUGACCUUUUGGCUGCGCUUCUCUAACUUUUCAUGAUUGUUCAACAAUAUGUAUAUAACCAUAAAUAUCUUUAUUUAACCUAUAUAUUCAAAAAAAUUUUGAUGAAGUAUGUUUAUCUUACCACCCUUCAAUGGCUGUAGCUCAGCCCCUUCCACCCCUCUCUUUAAAAUAUACUAGUACUUCAUCAAUGCCAUAGAGAAAGAAAAUAAUCUACAAUCAGAGUACUCUUCAAUUGAAAAUGGAAAUAGACAUAGAAAUUGAAAUGGAAAUUCAGGUACAUUUGUCAUGAGCAAUCCAAAUGUGAUGAGAAACAACUUUGAUAUUGAUAAAUAUUAUUCAUUAAAAUUUUUAUUCAAAACUAUGUUUGGUACUACUACUAUUGAUCAUCCACACUACUUUGAUAAUAAUUUUACAUCAACAACUAGUAGUUCCAUUUUCGAUUUGCUAAUGUUUCCACCUCAUCAUGAACCCCUCAUUAACCUAUGAUUGCUACUUCUACAAUUCAAGAUUCAUCAAUAGCUGAUCAUAUGAUUAAUUGAUUCAGUUGUUAAGGUUUUUGUCCUAAUUUUCUUACAUAAUUUAAGUAUUACUUUUUCUUGAAAGGAAAAUAAAAGUAAUUACAUAAUCACUUUUACUUUUCCUUAACUGGUAAAGUUGCUGCCAUAUGACUAGGAAGUCACGGGUUCAAGCCUUGGAAACAGCCUCUGACAAAAAUUCAACGUAAGGCUGCGUACAAUACACUCUUAUGGUGGGGCUCUUCCACAGACACCGUGCAUAGAGGCAACUUUAGUACACCGGGCUGCCCUUUUUACCUUUCCUUAAAGGAAGAUAUAAUUCUUCUCCAUAUUUAGCCAAUCUCUUUCUUGGUGAAAAGGUUUUAAAACUAUAUAAAAAAAACACCCCUUUCUCAUGCAAUAUCACAAUAGCAUCCACAAUAUAGUUGUUUAAGAGUCUUGUUUUGGGAGAGAUUUUCUCUCUAUAGUUUUAUGCCAUCUUUAAUAUUGGUUUUCAUGUGUAGGUCAAUUGGCUAAAUAAUAUCAAUAAUAUGUUGUUUUAUUAUACUUUUAUUUGUCAUCUGAAUUAUCAUCUUCUUGAUUUACAAACUUUAAUUUUUCGCAUAUGGCCCUAUCAAUUUCGAACCUAGCAAGUGGUAUCAGAACCUAUGGCUCAAAAGUUCAAUGGUUUAGUGAAACAAGAUGAAAGACAGGUUCAAAGAAGUUUAAUAAUCAAGCUGCAAUCAGUUUUACAAUAAUGACAAUUUUCUUUAGUUAUAUGUGGAGAAGAAGUUUUAAGCAUAUUUCAACAAUCCUUUAGUUGCAUCUUUAAAAAUAAAAAAAAUAUUAAUUUUUAAUCUACUUUUAAUCAUAUUAUUUUAAAUCUUAUUUUUAACCAUGAAAAACAGUAUUGAUGAAGAUUAUGUGAAGAACAAAGUUCAUGCAUGUGAAGAAGGCAGAUCAAGUGAAUAACAUCAAGCCAAAAGGGGAGAUUUGUUAGAGUUUUUGCCCUAUUACAAAAUUUAAGUUUUACUUUUUCUUAAAAGAAAAAUAAAAGUAAUAUCAUAAUUAUUUUUACUUUUUCUAAAAGGAAAAUAUAAUUUUUUUUACCGUAUUUGGCUAAUUUUUUUUUUGGAGGAAAGAUUUCAGAACUCUAUAAAUAGAAGACCUCUCUUCUCAUACCUUAACAUAAUAGUAUCCACAAUGUAGUCACUAAAGAGUGUUGUUUAGGGAGAGAUUUUUCCCAAUAGGUUCAAUGAUUUUUGGAUAUUAGAUUUUCAUAUGUAGGCUAAUGGCCAAAUCGUAUAAUAAUAUUAUAUAUUUUUAGUAUUUUAUAUUAUGUCAUCUGAAUUAUCAAUGGUCUGAUUUGCAUACUUUAAGCUUCUGCAUAAUGCCCUCUUGAUUCCGAAUCCAAACCUAGUGACUCCAAAUUUAUCAUUGAUUUCUUCAUCAUCAACUGAAUUACCUGCUGAUGAGUAUCAACAAGAUAAAAUUUUACUUCUUUCUAGAUAAAAUGUAUAUUUUUGUUUGUCUGGUAGAGUAUUAGAAAACAUGAAAUUAACUAUGAUAAAAAUUAUAGGUAAUCCUUAGCUAAUUUGUCAGUAAAUAACUUCUAGCUAACUGGAUUUUCUGUAAAACGGUCAACUGUUGAGAUUAGUAUGAGAUUUUUGUUGUUUAGCUAUGAAAUUGUUUUCGCACUCAAUUCCUUGUUUUGUUUAAGUUACCCCAUAUUAGUUUCCCCCACCCCAUCCAUUUUUUUAAAAGAUCCUUUCUAAAUUUAUGAAUCUAAUAAUUUUAUGUUGAAUGAGAAUAUCGAGUUCUGAAAGCUAUUUUCAAAAUGUCACGUUCUCUCUAAGCUAAUGAUAGCCGGAUCUGAGGUAUAUUUUAGAAAAAUAACUGGCACCCUGAAGUUUAUCAAGCAAUUCAUUAAUUUUGGGGAGCAGAUACUUAUUCUUGGUAGUGACUUUAUUCAACUGAAGAUAAUUGAUGCACAUUCUGAGAGAACCUUCUUUCUUACGUAUGAAAAGGACUGAAGUGCCCAGGGGAAAACACUAGGCCUGAUGAAUCCCUUACCUAAGUGAUCUUUCAACUAUUCUUUUAACUUCUUAAGCUCCGCAAGAGCCAUUUUGUAAGGCAGAAUAGAAAUAGAAUGGGUAUCUAAAAGAAAGUCUAUUCCGAAGUCGAUUUCCCUUACGGGAGAAAAUUCGAGAAACACAUCUGGAAAUUCUCUCACUAUUGGAACUGACUUGAGAUUGGGAAUCUUUGAAAUAGAGUUUUUAACUCAAAUAAGAUGGUAUACACACCCCUUGGAUAUCAUUUUUAUCGCUCUAAGGUACGAAACAAGCUGACCCCUAAGUGUUGAAUUACUAAACCUCCAUUCAAGGGUUGAUUCAUUCAGAAACUGAAAAUGAAUAACUCUAUUUCUAUAAAAAAAAAAACUGAAGCAUAGCAUGAGCGGAUCCAAUCCAUUCCAAGAAUGACAUCAAAAUCAGUCAUUUAUAACUCUACAAGAUCAACUGAGGUGUGUUUCUAGGAUAUUAUGACCGGACGUUCCUGUAUACCUGCCUGGCUAUAAUAGAGACACUUGUUGGGUUAGACGCUGAGAAAGGUUUUGCUCAAGUUUCAGGACUGACAACAAAAUUAACAGUUAUAUAGGGAGCUACAAACGAAAGAGAAGCUCCGGGAUCUAACUAGGCAUAAACAUGUAAAUGAAAGACCUGUAAUGUCCCAGUAACUACAUUAGGAUAAAUUUCCUGAUCCUUUCAAGACUAAAGUGCAUACAAUCUGUUUGGGCACUGGCCAUUAGUUGUGCUAGAAGUGGCACCCUGUUGAGUCGGGUGAUUGGAUGGAACUAUGGGAUGAUUAGACUGACCCUGUUGACCACUAUUUGGGCAAUCCCUAACUCUGUGGCCUGAUUUGACACACCCAAAGAAUACAUCACUGUAAGAUCUACACACACCCUGAGGGUUUCGACCAUAUUUCUGGCAAAGAGGAUUUGUACGACUACUGUUCACACUGCCCUAGGUCUUAGAGACUAGCUCUCUAUCCCGAUUAUCAUUACUGAACUUUGACACUGGCGCACAAGCUAAAGAAAGAUAUGGAGAUGAUGAUUUUUGACAAAAUUGAGGAUGGUUAUCACCCUCUAACCUCAGCUGAGCAAAACUAAAGCUACCUAUUCUGGCUCUCUUAUUCUUCCUCCCUCUUUCCUUAAAUUUCUGCUCCUUAAUAUGUUGAGCAUGGACCAUCAAUCUCAAUAAGUAGAUCUCCUUAAUCAACAUCGUAGGGCUACACUCCUUGAAUACGCUAUCAGUUUCCCUAGAAACAAACUUACUCAUCCUAGACCUGCCAUUAGACACUACAUUAGGAGCAUACCUAUCUAGCCGAUUAAACUUAAGAGAAUACUCUUUCACACUCAUUUCCUGCUUUAAAUUUAUAAACUCCUGCACCUUAGCUUCCAUUAACUCCAAGAGAAAGAACCUAGCUAAAAAGGAUGUGGCCAACUCCUCCCAUUCAACUGGCCUUAUAUCUGCACCUCUGUCUCUUUUUCACUGCUUAUACUAGGUGUGAGCAAUAUCCUAUAACUGGUAAGAACCCAACUCUUCACUCUCACUAGAAGUCACACCCAUAAUGUCAGUUACCUUCUGAACUAUGUCAAAGAACUCUUGCGGAUCCUCAUCAGACUUGGAUCCCGAAAAUAGAGAAGGGUUCAUUCGGGUGAUGUCCCAAAUCCUAGCUGCGGCAUUAUUAGCCAAUGAAAUAGCCGUGAUAGUAACCUACUAAUUAUUAUAAGAUUCUACAGAGUGAGAUAAAGUAGUGAAUGCAACUCUAAAUUCGGCAUGAGAAACAUGCUCAUUUAGGAGAUUUUCCUAAAUAGGCGGAGGUGUGGGAUGAUUCCCGUUUCUUCUUUUGUUAGUAUUUCUAGGAGGCAUGCUCAGUAAAUGGAAAUAAAAUUAAAUUAUAAAGGGAUUUUAAAUUGGGAUCAUGCUUAUUCGCUCGACAUGAAUACUAAAAGAAGGAAAACUUUUCCUAAAAUGUCUUAUAUCCUCCUGUCCAAAGGUGUAGUGUUCUUCACACCUAUGCACAGGACUUUACUCAAUGCAGAUUUUAGACUUCCUAGGACACUUUAAAACCUUAGGCUCUGAUGCCAAGUUUGUACCACCCUGGGAGUGCACCCUAGACGCCACACGGUGCUUAUGAUAACAAGUGACCACAAGCUAAUCCAUAAGCCGGUACCUGCUGUGAGCACCAAUUAAACUGAUAAUAAAAGAUAUAAAAGUGAGGAAAAAGUUUGAUAUUCCAUAGGGCUUAAAUGCUGAAAACAAUACAACUGAAAUCCACAAUUCUGAAACAUAAGCAAAAAUACUAAAAACUGAUAACUAACUGACUGUCUGAAAUGUCUGAAAGCCUUUAAAACUAACUGAAUAAGAGUUGAUGGGACAGGCCUCAACUAACUCUAAAUUUUUAACUAGAAUAAAAUAUUAAAAAAAUAUCAUCGGUCCUCAAAACAUAAGGACUAACCACUGCGACUGUUGCUGAUGUGCUGGAAUGUCUAAGUACGGUCAGCAACCUGAGCUUCCGAACCUAUGAUAUGAGACAUCAUAUAAGAAGAAUUGAGUAUGCUGUUGGUACUUUGAAUAUAUUGGUAUGCUAAAUUAGGUUAGGUUGAUAUGCAUGAGCUCAUGUGUAUGAAUAAUAACUGAAUGAAUGAAUAGCAUGAGAUAACUGAUGCAUUGUAUGCAUGAAGGUUGUAAAAUCUAAGAAUGCCUGACCAAGUAUAUAAUAUGACAUGAGAAUAGUAUAUAAACUGAAAUAAUAAAAUUUGAGUAUUGAUUUAACUAAUAAACUGUAUGUUAUGGUCAAGCAAACCUGAACUGACUUUCAAACUGAGUUGGACUGAGACUGUGGGAGCUAUCAUCUAAUCGACAUGCCCUAAUAGAAGCUAAUUGGGGUGCAACCUAUAAAUCCAGUUGGAAGGGUAUCAGAACCAUGCCAUGGGUAAUAACAUUGGCUAUGUGAAUCCACUAAAGUGAAGUCUCAAAGGACAAAAUAGUCACCCUCUACUGGCAGGUGCUCUAGUGAGAUAUAUGUCAACCCUCAACUAACAGUUUAAUAUCUCAACCUACACUGGCUACGUAGUUCUAGAAUGCAGGGAUGACUAUUAAAGGUCACACCCUCAACUGGCAGGUGAGCCCCCAUCCCUGGGUUUACUCGGUGCUAAAUACUACACCCAACUGAAUUGACUCUAUUUACUAGGCUGAACUAAGCUUACUUAUGUGAUAACUGAUUGAACUGAUAAUACUCUAAUAUAUACGAAACCAUUUUGAAAAUACUGAGACUAAGUAAACACCUAAGUUUUUGGGUAUUCAUAAACCCUCGGACUUGAUAACAUUAAUAGUAGAAACAUACUAAAUCUUCAAAGCAUAAUAAGUAGUCAUUGUUCAAAAUCUAACAAUUUAGGCAUUUCAUCAAACACUUGAAAUUCAUGAACUUAGGCAUGGGGAUGAUUGAAACAUGUGGUAAUAACAUAGUCACAACACUAAAAUCAUACAUUGGGUAUUUGACAUGGAAUUUCUCGCUUCAAAUAUGUAAGGCUACUGUUGAUCAUCCACACUACUUUGAUAAUAAUUUCACAACAACAACUAGUAGUUUCAUUUUUUAUUUACUAAUGUUGCCACCUCAUCAUGAACCCCUCAUUAACCUAUGAUUACUACUUUUACAAUUCAAGAUUCAUCAAUAUCUGAUCACAUGAUUAAUGUUUCAGUUGUUAGAGUUUUUAUCCUGAUUUUCUUACCAAAUUUAAGAUUUACUUUUUCUUAAAAGAAAAAUAAAAGUAAUAACAUAAUUACUUUUACUUUUCCGUAACUGGUAAAGUUGCACUCAUGUGACCAAGAAGUCAUGGGUUCAAGCCUUGGAAACAGCCUCUGACACAAAUGCAAGGUAAGAUAGCGUACAAUAACCCUUGUGGUGGGGCCCUUCCCCGGACACCACGUAUAGAGGUAGCUGUAGUGCACCGGGCUGUCCUUUUUACCUUUCCUUAAAAGAAAAUAUAAUUCUUUUUCAUAUUUGGCCAACCUCUUUCUUGGUGAAAAGAUUUUGAAACUCUAUAAAUAAAACACCCCCUUCUCAUACAAUAUUGCAAUAGCAUCCACAAUAUAGUUGUUUAAGAGUCUUAUUUUGGAAGAGAUUUGCUCCCAAUAGUUUUGUGUUUACUUUAAUUUUAGUUGUCAUGUGUAGGUCAAUUGGACAAAUAAUAUCAAUUAUAUAUCUUUUUAUUAUACUUUUAUUUUUCAUCUGAAUUAUCAUCUUCUUGAUUUGUAAACUUUAAUUUUUUGCAUGAGCCACUACCAAUUUUGAACCUAGCAAGUGCUAUAAAAGCCUAUGGCUCAAAGGUCCAAUGGUUUGGUGAAACAAUAUUAAAGAAAGGUUCAAAGCUGUUUCACAAUCAAGAUGCAACCAGUUUUACGACAAUGAUAAUUUUGUUUAGUUACAUGUGGAGAAGAAGUUUUAAGCAUAUUUUGACAAUCCUAUAGUUGCAUCUUUAAAAAUAAAAAUAAAGUAUUAAUUUUGAAUAUACUUUUAACCAUAAUAUUUUAAAUCUUAAUUUUAACCAUGAAAAACAGUUGUAAUGAAGAUUAUGUUAAGGACGAAGUUCAUGCAUGAAGAAGGCGGAUCAAGUGAAGAACAUCAAGCCAAAAGGUGAGAUUCGUUAGGGUUUUUGCCCUGAUUUUCUUACAAAAUUUAAGUUUUACUUUUUCUUGAAGGAAAAUAAAAGUAAUAUCAUAAUUAUUUUUACUUUUCUUGAAAGGAAAAUAAAAGUAAUAUCAUAAUUAUCUUUCUUGGAGGAAAGAUUUUGGAACUCUAUAAAUAGAAGACCUCUCUACUCAUACCUUAAUACAAUAGUAUGCACAAUAUAGUCGUUAAAGAGUCUUGUUUAGGGAGAGAUUUCUCCCAAUAGGUUCAGUGAUUUUUGGAUAUUAGGUUUUCAUAUAUAGAACAAUGGUUAAAUCAUAUAAUAAUAUUAUAUUUUCUUUUAGUAUUUUAUAGUGUGUCAUCUGAAUUAUCAGUGGUUGGGUUUGCAAACUUUAAGCUUCUGGAUGACGCCAUCUCGAUUUCGAAUCCAACACCAGUGACUCCAAAUUUAUCAUCGAUUUCUUCAUCAUCAACUGAAUUACCUGCUGAUGACUAUCAACAAGCUAAAAUUUUACUUCUUUAUGGAUAAAAUGUAUAUUUCUUUUUGUCUAGUCGAUUAUUAGAAAACAUGAAAUUAGCUAUGAUAAAAAUUAUAGGUAAUCCUUAGCUAAUUUGUCACAUUAUAACUUCUAGCUAACUGGAUUUUCUAUAGAAUGGUCGACUGUUGAGAUUAAUAUGAGAUUUUUUAUGUUUAGCUAUGAAUUUUUUUUCCGCACUCGAUUCCCUGUUUUGUUUAAGUUGCCCCAAAUUUAGUUUCCCCUACCCCCUCUAUUUUUUUCAAAAGAAAAUCCUUUCAAUAUUUGUGAAUUUAAUAAUUUUAUGUUGAAUGAGAAGUUUUUAUAGCUACAUCAAUAAUAUUAAUGUUUUUAAAACAAUUCUCAUGUCUUACAUAUGUUAAUAUAUUUGUGUAAGGGUCAAAUACAUAACUAUAUAAGGUUACCAGCUUCUACAACACAUAAAAAUAUUCUGAUGAUAUAAUAUUUUUUUAUACCGACAAUGUAGAUAACAUAAAGUUCUACAAAGAACUUGCUUCUUUCUCUAUAUCUCUCACAUUUAUAUUACUUUCUUCACUUUCUAUUUUUAUUUGAAAAAUUAAACAUUCUUUCCUUUAAUUUUUUAUCUUUAAUAAUAACAUGACCUUAUAUAUAGUUACAAGAAUAUGAUGACAUGUUUAAAAUUAUAAAUUCUACGGACAAUUCCAGAUACAUGAAAAGAGUUGAAGUUUUCAAAUUCCUUGUCUCAUGAAAUAGACAGUGUACAAAAGGAUUGUUCGAUGCUCAAAGCAUCUCGCUUAUGAAUAUUUCCUUUUUCCUUUCGUCAGCAGCUAGUCUUAUAAUGCAAGUGUGAGAUAUAUGCAUAAAAUGUCUUGUGCAUGCAGGAACUACUAUCAUUGCACAACAACAUCAUGUAGUGUGAAGAAGAGAGUGGAAAGGUCAAUUCAACAUAUUUCAAUCGUUAUUACGACUUAUGAAGGUACACACACGCAUCCCUGCCUCGUAACGCCUAAGGGUUAUGUCGGCGUUCAGACGGUAACCACCAACUACAAUGGCUUCAUAGGUGGUGGUGAUAGUAGAGGAAGAACUUGUUAUGGUGAUUCCUCUUUCUUAUUUUCAACUAAUAAUUCAUGAGAAGAAAGAAGGUUCUGGAGCUCUUUUUCCUCUUUGAAUGAAGAUCAUGGACUAAUUCAAAGAUAUGAUGUCAUCACAUAUGAGAAGAGAUCUUAUAGAAGAGUAAGAAAAGAAAUUAGGAUAUAUAUACUCAAACCCAAUUUAUUUGGGACUGAGUAUGACAGAUAAUAAAUUUUAUAAUGCAAUGGUUCGAUUAUAUAACUAAAAUACACUCAAACGCUUUUUAUAUUUUGGACUAGUUUUGCCUAAUUUUUUCUAAUCUUUUUUUGUGUUUCUUUAUAUAUUUUAGAUAAUUGUGGUUUUCUAUAUUUUUUAAGAGAAUAAAAUACAAAUUCCCAAUUCAAAAGCUUUAUAUUAAUCAUCACACAAGUUAUUAGUGAGUCUAAUAUGAUAUUUCAUUGUGAAAAGAAAUAUUGUAAAUUUAUAUUAUUAACUGGUUGUAGAUGACAACUACCAGUAUCUUUUUAAAUAAAAAUAUAACAAUCUUUUGACCAUCUUACCAUUUGAAAUUAAUGCAAAUCCAUCAUAAGAUUUCAUCAAGUAUAGUUCUUGCAUACUGUCAUCAUUCAACUGUUUCACUACAAUCACCUUUUACAUAGCUUUUUAAUUCUAAUAGCUUAUUUUAUAUAUUGAUUUAGCGAUAUUUAGAUAGAUUAUACACAUCUUUACCACACGAUCAAAUGAGUUUAUCACCUUUUUAAACUUCUCCUGUUAAAUUAGAACGCAUAAAAUAAAAUCUGGGAUAAUAUGAUACUCUAAGCAAUAGAAACAAAAUGAUAAAUUUAAUAUUAUGGCUUAAUAGCACUUAUUUUAAAUAUAAUUAUAACAACCUUUCAAUCUCCUUACAAAUAUUAUUCUAAGUUUUUUGUAAAAAGGUCCCUUUUUAAUUAUCUUGAAUUUUAAAUUGUUAGAUCUCGUAUCCCAAUACCGUCCAAUCUCGUCACCAACCCUCAAUUCAAGAUUUGCAAAUAAAUUCUCACAGGCAAUUGUGUAGUCUUUGCUAAGCUCCAUCAUCUGAUUGGAAGCUUGAUGAUUUUUAGAAUUUGCCACACCAGUAACAUCCACUAGUUCUACUUCCUCCUUGUUUCCUUUCUUUAUCAGCGUGACCAUAUCUUUCAUCCAAUGCUUAAAUAUGUGGAUCUUCAUAUCCUCGAACGACAAUACUAAUAUCGUCACGGACUUCUCAAAGUCCAUGAUUAUUUUGGUAAUAGUCCAUGGAUUUUGUACAUUCAUCCAUACUUCUUCUUCUGUUUUUGAUGGGAUGAAAUUGUCCAUGAAAGCCUUUUUUCUAAUAAUAAUAAUAAUUGAGAAAAAGUGUUUGAUGAAUUUUCACAAUGUUGAGCAAGGAUGAAUAGAAAUUUAUAGGGAUGUUUUGUGUUAAAUUUGGAAAGCAUAUGACACUAUAAAUUAUUUUCCUAAUAAAGUUUUUGUAUAAGAUUACAUAAUUAAGAUAAUUUUUUCUUUGUGUAAAUUUGUACACCAAUUUAAAGAACCAUUUAGAAUUAAUUUAAUGACUUCCCAAAUUUUGACCAGUCAUAUUUUAAAUUUUUCUGGUUAUAUUAGAAAUUAAUUUAAUGACUUUCCAAAUUCUAGUCAGUCAUAUUAGAAAUUAAUUCAAUGCCUUUCCAAAUACUGGCUAGUCAUAUUUUGAUUUUUUCUUGACACCUUUCUACUACUACUACUUGAUUUGAUACAUUACGUCCAAAGCAUAUUUUUGUAGUUACAAGUAAUUUUAUUUAAUAGAAUAUAUAAUAAAUAUUAAUUAAUCGGUUAUAAUAAAUUAGCUUACACUAAUGACUAUAUAUCUAAUUAAUAGAAAAUCCAUCAGUAUAGGAGCUUAUAAAUCUCUCAAACAUUAGUUUUCAAAAUUAAACUUUCUAUCACUUAAAAAUCGUCUAGGUAUAUUGUUGUGUCAUACAGGUCCAUGUAUCAUGACAUGCGCAAGUAUUUCAGUAACUGAAGAUAAUUUUGGUAAUAAAAUCUAUUAAUUCAAGGCGAAAAUCAAGGGAUUAACGAAAAUAUAUAUCUUGGUGAUGUAACUUGAUUAAUUUCAUUGAAUUACCUUUUAAAAUAUUAAAUUUGUUAGUGAAUCAGAAAAAAUCGAGUUAAUUAGGUCUCAAAACAUACACCAAACACCGAAUGAAAAUCAAAUGAAAAUACUAUAUAUGUAGUCUAACAUAUUAGGUGUAACGCCCUGAGUCUGUACCUCGGACGCUACACGGUGCUCAUAAUUUCGAAGGAGAACAAGCUAAUCCAUGACUGGUACCUGCUGCAAUAACUGAAUAAUAAUAAUGUCAUAUGCAGAAAUUAGGCAGAAAACAUGCCAUAAGGUUGAAUACUGAAAUAAAACUGAAUACGGUAUAACAAAUACCAAAUUUGAUACAUGUGUCUAAAAGUAUUCUAGUCUUAAAAAGCCUCUAAAUUGUCUGAAAUAUGGAGUUGAUGGGUCAAGUCACCAACUAACUCCGAACUACUGAAAUAAGCUGAACUACUGAAAUAAUCAUCAUGUUCUCUAACUAAGAGGACUCACCACUUACUCUAUCAGCUGAAUAUCUGAACUGCUAAGUUUGAUCAGGAGCCCGCGCGUCUGAACCUAUGAUAUAAAAUAUCAUAGCGCAAAUGAAAGGUAUGUAUUAGUACUUUGAAUGUACUGGUAUGUAAAAUGAGGUAGGCUGAAAUGUAUGGGUUCAUAUGCAUGAACAAUACUGACUGAAUGACACGAGUAUAACUGAAUGAGAGUACAGGAAUGAAUACGUAAACUAUAAUUGAGAUCGUGCUAACACUGGAAUGCCAAAUUUGAGUACGGAUUAAAUGAUAUUUGAGCCUACUGAUACUCAAUUUUUGAUAGCUGAGUGACUGUAUCUGACAGUCUUGAAUCUGUGAAACUAUACUAAGUUCUGAUCUGAGUUUAGUAACUGUGUCUGACAGUUCUAAUUUUUUGUAGAACAGAACUGAGUUCUAUACUGAGACUAGAAUUGAAACUGAGACUGUGGGAAGUAAUCAUCUAACCAACUUGCCCCUCUUUGAACUGAUUGAGGUUCAACCUGUAACUCCAGCUGGAAGGGUGUCAGUACCGUGCCAUGGGUAAAGAUAAGCUGAGUCACCCUUAUCUUCCAGGUGCUCUGAACGAGAAUAGUGGUACCAUCAACUAGAAGGUAGAUCACCUCAUCAACCCUUAACUGGCAGGUUGAUGUCUCAACCUACGCUUGCUACGUAAUUCUGGAACACAAAUACUGUUUCUAAGGAUCAUACCCUUUACUGGUAGGUGAGUUCCCAUCCGUGGGUUCACUCGAUGCUGAAUCCUACUCCCAACUGAAUUGACACUGGACUAGAUUCUAGACUAUUCUAGGCUGGACUGAGCUGUUUCUGAUCGUACUGUAUAACUAAACUGAACUGAGUUCACUGGUUUCCGUGGACUGAUGGAAUACUACUGAAUUUUGUUAUGACUAAAUUCUACCAAUCGUGACAUGACUGAUACUAUCCCGUGACUGACCAUGGCUCUAGGUAAACAGCUAAAUUAUCGGGUAUUAAAUACCCUCAGGACUCAAUAGCAUAAAUUGUAAGACAUGGCAUAAUCUUGAAAUAUGAUAGCUAAGUACUUGGUCAUCGUACAUUUGUUUGGGACAUUCUAGCAAACACUUGCAUGACAUAAACUUGAAUAUAUGCUGACAUGAUAUAAUUUCACUAUUCAACUAACAUAAAUAAUUCAUUAAACACUUGAAGGAAAUAAUCUAUGCACAUGACACUAACACAAUAUGUAAGCAUCAUAGUUCAAUUCCUCAUUUACAACUUCAAAGGUUUCAACAUGGUUUUGCAUGAUAAUGCACACAUAUCAAUCAAUUCCACAUGAAUCUUGUAGUAAAUCAUGAACUAGAAACCCCAUUAACAUGGUAAUCAUGAACUCAUUCAAAUUCAACCAUAAAAUUCAUCAAACUCAUAAACUUGUAGUUAAAAAGGGUUCUUGAACUCCAAGGAUGGAAAAGAACCCUUGGAUGAACACUUGACAUACCCUGGUUGCUAAAUUCCUGAAGAACAAUGUUGGAAAUCUUGAGCUGAAAUUAAAUCACCUAGAGUUUUUGUUCUUGAGCAAUUUGAUAAAAAGUAAGUAUAUUUUGCUCAAUGAGGGUUGAAUCUCGUGUUCUAUGGCUAAAUAAGGGUGAAAAAAAGACUCAAAUACCCCCAAGGACGCGACUUUUAAUGACUAAAAACUGGUAUGUCGACGCGCAGGACAACGCGCCGCAUUAUUGGCAUCGACGCGAUAGCCAACGCGCCACGUCGAGUCUGCAUCGGUUCACUAUAAGUAGCCACUAGAAGUCAAGGAAAAAUAUUGAUCGACGCGAUGGCCGACGUGCCGCACUAAGAUCGCGUUGAUACACUAUUUUGGAUUCCCAAACGUGGUUCUAAUGAGGUCCGAAAAAUACGAAACUCGUCCGAAAACAUCUACUGACAUUUUUUAUCAUGAAUCAGCCUAAAGAUUGACAUUUUAAGGCCAUAGGGGCCACGAAAUAGAAUUUCCAGCUUACGAAGACUAAAAUAACACUAAGUUUGAAUACUUAGCAAAUUUUCUAAGUCUGGAACCCCUUAACAAGCUUUAAAAAGGGCUGAGUUAAUUUAAGGAUUUCGCGGGGUCUUACAUUAGGUUUCCUAUAAGCUAAGUGGAGCUUAGGAAAUCAAUUAUGAGUAAACGUUGAGCAAUAUGGAUAUAUUUAUGUAGGGUAUAUUAUAUGCACCCAUAGACGACUAUGCUUAGAUUUGGUUUUUCUUUAAUUAAUUUUUUUCCGGUCCAGUCCGGACCAUUUUAUUAACUAAAAAUUACACAAAUACACAACUUAUGUUUUCAAUAUUACAAGAAAUCCCAUCUCCCUAAACAUAUUAUAGAAAUCCCACAUAUAGACAGAAUGCUAUGUAUAUAUCGGUUAUGUUAUGUCUAUUAAUAGGGAGAGAGAGUAAAGUAAUAAAAAAAGUGGGAGAGAGUGUAAUUACUUUUAAAAUAUUGAUAUUUAUGUGAUUUAUACUUAUAUUAAUAAUGAGAUCUCAAAACACGGUCUAUAACUUUAGAUUGAUGGAGGGGCCCAAGCAAAGACCCGAUCCAAUAAAUUGAAAGAAUGCUUAGAGUUGUUUCCUUAUUAAGUUUAACAAAUUUUUAUUUAGCUUUCUCCUAUACUGAAUGAAAUUCAUAGCUUACCAUAGUCCUCCCCACCCCACCCCACCCUAUAGCUUCAUCUUUGUGGAAUAUAAAAAAUUCUUUAUCAUCAUUUUCCUAUAUAUCCUUGUUCAAAUAAAACAUAUAUAUGAUUGCCAUGGAUGAAAAGUUGGAAGCCAAUAAUUUUAAAGGUAAGUUUCACUUAGUGGAAAGCUCAUGAGGACUUUACUUUUUCUAUUUGAAUCAUUUCUACCGAGUUGUUUAGUGUAUAGUACUUUUUCAUAAAGCAUGUCUCACAAACGAAAAUAUUUAUUAAAAUAAGGAGAUCGCAAAAGUUUGACCAAACAGGCAUGCCCUUUUUUUUACUGUUUUUGUGUGGAAUUUAGCCUACGCGCAUUUAAUUUAAAUUAUGUAGCAAGUUCAAAGUAUAUCUAGAAAUGUGGAUGGUACCCUUUAAUAGUACCAUAUUUCAAUCAUGUAGAUAUAGUUAAUUCUAAUAUGAUGGAUUACCAAGUAUAACUUGUCAUAUGUGUCCAAAAUUAUUCCUGACAAAAAAAUAUUUAUUAAAAUAAGUCUAUUGUAAAGUUUAGCCAAACAUGCUAUAAGCCAGUCCUUUUCUCUUUUAUUGAAUUUAGACUGUCCAUUUUUAUUUGAAUAUAUAGCAAGUUUCAAGUAGCUAUAAAUGUGGAGGUAGCCCUUACCACAAUAUUCCAACAAUAUAGAUGGCACCUCUUAACUCUGAGAUAAUGGACUACCAACAAAACUUUCUUUUUGUGUGUGUGGAUUAAUGUAUUACUUAAUGUGCGUAAUACUUAUUUUGGGUCACAUUAUUUUACUGUUGUUGUGUUCAAUUUAUAUAUUUUCUUUUUUCAAACUAUUCAAAAAUAUUUUAUUUUAAGUCAGUUCUCUCCAUACCUCAUUUGUAUGAUUACCCUUUGAUAUGUUGUUGAGGUCUAUGUUUGUCUAUAAAAAAUGCAAGGACAAAAACAAUGACAAAAACUUUCUAUUUCCAAGUAUAAAAGGAUACACAAGUUUAUCAAUGUGCUAAUUUCAAGCCCAAAGAGCAAGGAUUGACAUUGAAGUAGAGCCAAGAAGAAGAUCAAUAAAAGAUACUUUUUUCAAGAAUGGCUGACCACUCAUGAAUUUUUUGUGAAAGAAAUCAAAGGCAAUAAGAUCAACUAAAGCCAUGUAUAUGUGUAUACCGGAACCGGAAGAUAAAGACCCCAAUAAACCUUCAAAGAUAAAGGCAUUUGGGCUUGUGUCACCAUAUCCUGCUAUUGAAAAAACAAUCAUUCUCAAUAUUAUACCCAAUAAUAGAUAUUUUUACCAAAAAUGUUCAAUCUUAAUUAACAAUUUCAACUUUUAUUCAAACACGUAUCAUUGAGUAGAUUCUAGAGCGGGCUAAUAAUAGUAAUUUUAGAUUCAAUCACAUAUUUGGGAAGGCGAUUGUUCUGCAGAUCCUUAGGAAAGGAAUAUAAAGAAAAUAAAAGAAGCUAUUUCACUUCCCUCACAGGUUAGAGCUACAUUAAAGUUUGAACAACAAAAUAUUUCAAAUUUCAAAUUCAGAACUAGCAAAAUAAAUUUCAAGUUUGCCGCAAGGAUUAGGGUCCUGAAUAAUAUUCUAGUGUAUCAGUGCCUCAGGGGAAAGUAUACAUUGGUCAUAGCCAAUCAUGUCUCCUGAAUCGGCAAAACUCAAUUUCGAGCAAUGAGCCCUUACACUCAAAUGCCUUCUUGGGGUAACCAUCUAACUCUCUUUAAGUCCAUUUUUAGUCCUUUAAGAAUCAUGCUUCAUGCUCAUAAAAAUUCACUUCUGAUUCUUGUAAGGGCAUGCAUAUCAUAAUAGGGUAUCGUCAUAUCCAGACUUGCACGUCAUUCAUAUCAUACCACAGCAUAUCCAUAACCCUUUUUAUUCAAAAGCAUGUUAGUGACCAACCAAAAGAUUUAAACAUCACAUGAAAGAGUUCUUGUUUCAAAACACAUGAAAACUCAUGAAACCUACUCCCUUUUCAAUACUUUAUCAUACGGUGGUCAUCUUUUUCAUCAAUCACAUGCAAAUUCUUUAUUAGAAAACACGAGCAUUUGUAAAUCAAGGGAAAAACCCCUCUCACUCAUUCGUAAAACAAUAAAAAUUCAUAAAUAUUAGCAAAAUAUUUAAGCUCAAACUUUUAAUCAUCCUUGUAAACAAUUCACAACAUUGUUAAGACAAUGAGUUUCAUAACAAGAGAGGGAAUAAUUCAAAUCAUGCUCUCAUAUAACUUCUCAAACUAAUAACAUAUGUACACAUGAAAAUAAUUCAAGUUUUGGGGAAACAACCUCAUAGAUUAUACAAGAUUUCAUCAUAAAACGUGGUUUACAAUGCAUGCUUUUCAACAAUUUCAAAAUCUAUCUCAUAUAUGAAAUUCUAUACCUAAAUAAAGUUUUUUUAAACGUUAAAUUUAUGCCCAUGGAAAUUAGGAUAGUCCCACAUACCUUUAAAUUGACAAAAACGUAGAUAAAAUUUUCCCUUGAAUCUUAAUUCCACAAACCCUAGCUAAAGACGGAGCUGGGACUUAGAGCUUCGCGCCCUAUCCUGAUUAUCAUUUUUGAACUUCGGCACUGGAGCACUAGCUGAAGACGAAGUUGGGGCUAAAGAUUUCUGACGGAAUUGAGGAUGGUUACCACCCUCUGGCCUUGGCAGAGCAAAACUAAAGCUACCUGUUCUGGCUCUCUUAUUCUCCCUCUCUCUUUCCUUAAAUUUCUACUCCUCAAAUUGUUGAGCAUGGACUAUCAACCCAGACAAGUCCAUCUCCAUAAUCAACAUCUUGGUUCUACACUCCUUGACCAAGCUAUCAGCUAUCCCAAAAAUAAACUUACUCAUCCUAGACCUGUCAUCAGACACCACAUUAGGAGCAUACCUAGCCAGCCAAGUAAACUUAAGAGAAUACUCUUUCAGACUCAUGUUCCCCUGCUUCAAAUUGAUAAACUCUUGAACCUUAGCUUCCCUUAACUCCAAGGGAAAAAAACUAUCUAAAAAUUACGUAGAAAACUCUUCCCAUUAAAUAGGACCUGCAUCUGCGUCUUUAUCUCUCUUCCACUGCUUAUACUAGUGUGAACAACAUCCUGCAACUGGUAAGCACCCAACUCUGCACUCUCACUAGAAGUCACACCCGUAAUGCCAGUUACCUUCUGAACCAUUUCAAGGAACUCCUGCGGAUCCUCACCAGACUUAGAUCCUGAAAAUAGAGGAGGGCUCAUUCGGGUGAAGUCCCAAAUCCUAGCUGCGGCAGUAUUAGCCACUGAAACGGCUGGGACAAGAUCCUACUCACUGAAAUGAUUGGGACAGGAUCCUAUUGAUUAUUUUGGGUUGUUACUAUGUGAGCUAUAGUAGUGAAUCCAGCUCUAAAUUUACCAUGAGAAACAUAAUCAUUUAGGGGAUCUUUCUGAACUGUCGGAGAUGCAGGCUGAUUCCCUUUUCUUUUUUCAUUAGUCUUACUGAGAGGCAUGUUUUGUAAACAGAAAGAAGAUUGAAUUAGAAAAGGGAGUUUAAAUUGAGCUUAUGCUCAUUCGCACAAAAUGAAUACUAAAAGAAGGGAAACUUUUCCUAAAACGUCUUAUAGCCUCGUGUCCAUAGAUAUGGCGUGCUUCACACACAUGCACAAGACUCAACCAAAUUCGGUUUUUAGAAUUCCUAGGACACUUUAAAAACUUAAGCUCUGAUACCAAGUUUGUAACGCACCGAGAGUGCACCUUGGAUUCCACACGGUGCUUAUGAUCUCAAGUGACCACAAGCUAACCCAUGAGCUGGUACCUGUUGUGACCACUGAAUAAAUUGAUAAUAAAAGAUAUACAUGUGCAGAAAAAGCUGGAUAUGCUAUAGGGUUUAAAUGCUGAAAACAAUACAAUGAAAUCCACAAUUCUGAAACAUAAGAAAAAGUGUUGAAAACUAUCAACUAAUUGACUGUCUGAAAUGUUCGAAAUCCUUUAAAACUAACUGAAUCGAAGACAUUUUUCAUUCAUCAAAUCAGUCUUCGUAGAUAAUCGGAGGCAUCCUUCAUUUAUCCCAAGUCCCCAUGAAUAAUCAAAGGCGCCAUUCAUUCUCAAGUUCUUGUAUACAAUCAGAGGCAUCAUUCAUCUUUUCAUUAAAAUAUAUAAUUAAAAAAGUUAUUUUCUUCAAAUUCCAUUCAAAAGGCCAAAUUCUAGCCAUAACUCAUACACUGGGGUAAAUUUUGAGAGCCGCCCCAAAAAUAAUUUUCUAUUUUCGCAUAUCGAACUACAUUGAUCUGAUUUUCUUGACACUCGAGAUAUGUAGGAAGCACUAUGCAGAGUUCGAUCAUGGCAAUGACAUAAUCAUUCUUUCUCCCCACCAAGUACUCAAUCUUGUAUCCCCAGCAUCUCACAGCUCGAUACUGGGAAAUUUCAAAAGAAGCAUCGGGAAUAUAUGAACACUUUCGUUCCCAAACAACCCUCCUCUCAAUAAUCAUUCCAUAUGAUCAUUUGCCCCUAAUAACAAGGCAAAAGGCAAUUGCAUGUUCUUUUAAACAACAUCCGACCUGAUCCUCAUACAGCUCGAGGUAUGUAGGUAACUUUGAAUUAGAGUUCGGCCAAAUUUUUUUCAAAAAAUAUAUAUAUAUCAUUUUUGUCGAGCAAAAUUGGCUACACGUCAACAUUUUCAUUUGAAUAUUUCUACAUCAUCCUCAAAUGAAAAGGGGCAACUGUUGACACCCAAUUUUUGCUCUUUAUGCCUAAAUUUAAUGUCUUCAGGCUUCCUGGCCAUUAAAGGGCACAAAAUAUAAUUUUCACAUAUUUUUACUUUUCUUAAUUUAUUGAUAAUUCUCUGUACAUUAGAAUUUUUAUCAAUUCAUUAUCAUCUGUAAUAUUUUUUCACAAUCAUCUACUCACAUACAUGACAUGACAUCACAUUUUAUAACAUUUUCAAAUUAAUUACUUUUUUUUCAAUAUUUUUAACAUUCUUUACAUUUUUCAAUAAUUACAAAUCAAUUUCUAUAUUUUUUACAGUCCGCAAAUAUUAAAUCGGAUCAAUUAUUUUUGUACAGUAUAGUAAUUUGAUGUCUUGUCACAUCUGAUAAGUACCACACAAUAAUCUCUAAUCACAUCCGACAAGUUAUUGAUAAUUGUCAUUAUUUUAGAAUUUUGACCAAUUUAUUGUCAUAUUUUAAUUUUACAUAUUUUUUCUUAAUUUCGUAAAUGUUAGGAUUUUUAUCAGUUUAUUACCAUUUUAAUAUUUUUGAACAGUCAUCUACAUACAUACAUAACAUAAUACUACAAUUCUUUUUACAUAUUAUAAUUUUAGUUGUUUAUAGUGUAAUACAUUUUUUUUCAAAGAUAAUUAUAUCUGUUUAUAUUUUUCUGUAGUUAUAUAUAUUGAUAUUUUUAUUUUGUACCUUAUUUAUUUCAGUCUACAGAAAUAAUAUCGGUUUAUUUUAAUAUAAAUAAUAAAUUGGUCAAAUCAAGGUCUCAUCACUCUUUAUCAGUUUUGACUUUAAUUUACCUACUACCCAAAAUUUAAGAAAUUUGUUGGAAGAAAUAAUUUCUUUUUUCCUUUUAUUUAUACCAACACACCUAUACAUAAUAGACACACAGAUUCACAAUACAAACACCUACACGUAUUUUUCUUUCUUUCCCAACACACACGCCUUUUUCUCUGUACAUCAGCAGCUACUAUCAGAGCUCCGGCGAACGGCUCCGGCCAACACAACCACUGUCACACUUCCCCUUCUUCUUUUCCCAAAUUCUGACCAUCAAACACCACCUCCAGCAGCACCACAAUGCUGACCAGCCAUCUUCACCAAAAAUCACUAUUUUCAAACACUUUGCGCCUCUUCUCUCCCACUAUCGAAGACAACACCGGCGAACUACCCCUGUCGCCCAUCUCUCCAUUUAUUUCUCUCUCUACCCUCACUGCCAACUGUUGGAUUUGACUAUCGAACGAUCGAAGACCGAGAAAACAACCCCACAACCACUACCAUCGAAAAUGGGUCAGAUCUAGCCAAGUUCAUGGCUUACGGCGUCGCUCCAGCGAAGGCCAUGGAAGCGACGUCAUUUUAUUACUCUUUUGUUCGUCGGUAUCACUGAAUAAAUAAGGCUUCAAUAUUUUGUGUUUUGUUGUAUUAUUUGGUUAUUCUCUCAAAUUUUGAUUUGAAAUUCACUGAAGAAUAAUGUUUUGUUUUACCUUUUUUUAUUGUUGCUCUAAAUGUGUUGGCCGGAGUUAAUAAAACUCCAUACUUUAGGACAAGCAUUUACAUGUUUCAAAUAUUUCUCUAAUUUUUAGCUUGCUCGAGUUUUUGUUAUGUUGCUACUGCUGCUCCAUUCAUUGUUAUUACUGCUGAUUUUGCUAUAGAUUUUCUAUUUGUGUAAUAUAAUUUUUUUAUUUGUGUAAUAUGAAUUUUCUACUAUCCACGGACUGAUUUCGCCACUUACAUUUUAUUUAAUGAGAUAGUACAAAAAAUAUUUGGCUAGUGAAAUUAUCUCUCCGUCGGAUACUUGAGGCCACCCUAACAAAAGACAGAUUUUGCUUUUUAGUUUACUUAUUUUAUAUCAAACAUCAAAACACUGCCUAUGACAAUAUCUUUUCGUUGGAUUUUUGAGGCCCC
rnacentral:lncRNA from 1 species